UGACAAAUAAUGAAGGGAAGAGUAAGCUUAAAAGAAAACUUUAGAGAGCCGGGUUUGGUGAAAACCGGUAUUGGAAGUUAAGCUGAAUAUGGCCCCGGAGUUUUACGGCUAAACAUGAAAGUGAAGCCGUAACGGAGUUAUGUACGUUAACACAUAAGGUUAUUAUUUGUAACUUAAUGAGGUUUGAACUGCGAAGUUUAAACAAAUUAGAGUGGUAACAUGAAAAAUAAGUCUUCAUCUCUAUA
rnacentral:ncRNA from 1 species